rnacentral:rRNA from 1 species
GACAGGGGGUGCAAGCGUUACUCGGAAUUACUGGGCGUAAAGAGCGUGUAGGCGGUCUAUUCAGUCCACUGUGAAAGCCCCCGGCUCAAUCGGGGAAGUGCAGUGGAUACUGCUAGACUAGAGUGCAGGAGAGGAGGGUGGAAUUCCCGGUGUAGAGGUGAAAUUCGUAGAUAUCGGGAGGAACAACAGAGGCGAAGGCGGCCCUCUGGACUGCAACUGACGCUUAGGCGCGAAAGCGUGGGGAGCAAACAGG